rnacentral:rRNA from 1 species
GAUGAACGCUGGCGGCGUGCCUAAUACAUGCAAGUCGAGCGAACGGACGAGAAGCUUGCUUCUCUGAUGUUAGCGGCGGACGGGUGGGUAACACGUGGAUAACCUACCUAUAAGACUGGGAUAACUUCGGGAAAACGUAGCUAAUACCGGAUAAUAUUUUGAAACGCAUGGUUCAAAAGUGAAAGACGGUCUUGCUGUCACUUAUAGAUGGUUCCGCGCUGCAUUAGCUAGUUGGUAAGGUAACGGCUUACCAAGGCAACGAUGCAUAGCCGACCUGAGAGGGUGAUCGGCCACACUGGAACUGAGACACGGUCCAGACUCCUACGGGAGGCAGCAGUAGGGAAUCUUCCGCAAUGGGCGAAAGCCUGACGGAGCAACGCCGCGUGAGUGAUGAAGGUCUUCGGAUCGUAAAACUCUGUUAUUAGGGAAGAACAUAUGUGUAAGUAACUGUGCACAUCUUGACGGUACCUAAUCAGAAAGCCACGGCUAACUACGU